rnacentral:misc_RNA from 1 species
GGGAAGCAUGCAUCAAUUUAUGAUGGGACCGGGUUCAACAACAGACCCUCAUUCAUACAGCUCUAAAAUCAAUGAUUUUGGAAUGAAGCCUGGCAAAUACAAUGUUAACAAAGCUGCAGCAUUAUAUGGGUUGCCGCUUAGUCCUAUGGAAUAUAGAUCAAUCUUCGGGAGCCAGGAUCUUCUUCCGGAAGCUCAGUAUAUCGUGGAUCCAAAAUAUUCUAAUGGGUGGAGGGAUUUCAACAGAAGCAUGUUUUGGUUAGCUGUUAUUGGGGGCAGCUUGAUAUUGUUGCAUGCUUUGGUCCUUUUUGUUCUAAGACUGAGAAAGGACAGAGAGAAAAAGUGGAGCUAUG